GGGGUGCUCGAGUGGCGAACGGGUGAGUAACACGUGAGUAACCUGCCCUCGACUUUGGGAUAACUUCAGGAAACUGGGGCUAAUACCGGAUAGGAGCUCCUGCUGCAUGGUGGGGGUUGGAAAGUUUCGGCGGUUGGGGAUGGACUCGCGGCUUAUCAGCUUGUUGGUGGGGUAGUGGCUUACCAAGGCUUUGACGGGUAGCCGGCCUGAGAGGGUGACCGGCCACAUUGGGACUGAGAUACGGCCCAG
rnacentral:rRNA from 1 species